rnacentral:rRNA from 1 species
GACGAACGCUGGCGGCGUGCUUAACACAUGCAAGUCGAACGGAAAGGCCCUGCUUUUGUGGGGUGCUCGAGUGGCGAACGGGUGAGUAACACGUGAGUAACCUGCCCUUGACUUUGGGAUAACUUCAGGAAACUGGGGCUAAUACCGGAUAGGAGCUCCUGCUGCAUGGUGGGGGUUGGAAAGUUUCGGCGGUUGGGGAUGGACUCGCGGCUUAUCAGCUUGUUGGUGGGGUAGUGGCUUACCAAGGCUUUGACGGGUAGCCGGCCUGAGAGGGUGACCGGCCACAUUGGGACUGAGAGACGGCCCAGACUCCUACGGGAGGCAGCAGUGGGGAAUAUUGCACAAUGGGCGGAAGCCUGAUGCAGCAACGCCGCGUGCGGGAUGACGGCCUUCGGGUUGUAAACCGCUUUCGGCUGUGACGAAGCGAGAGUGACGGUAAUGGGUAAAGAAGCACCGGCUAACUACGUG